rnacentral:rRNA from 1 species
AGCGAACGCUGGCGGCAGGCUUAACACAUGCAAGUCGAGCGGGCACUUCGGUGUCAGCGGCAGACGGGUGAGUAACACGUGGGAACGUACCCUUCGGUUCGGAAUAACGCUGGGAAACUAGCGCUAAUACCGGAUACGCCCUUUUGGGGAAAGGUUUACUGCCGAAGGAUCGGCCCGCGUCUGAUUAGCUAGUUGGUGGGGUAAUGGCCUACCAAGGCGACGAUCAGUAGCUGGUCUGAGAGGAUGAUCAGCCACACUGGGACUGAGGCACGGCCCAGACUCCUACGGGAAGCAGCAGUGGGGAAUAUUGGACAAUGGGCGCAAGCCUGAUCCAGCCAUGCCGCGUGAGUGAUGAAGGCCUUAGGGUUGUAAAGCUCUUUUGUCCGGGACGAUAAUGACGGUACCGGAAGAAUAAGCCCCGGCUAACUUCGUG